AUACGUAGGGAGCGAGCGUUACCCGGAAUUACUGGGCGUAAAGCGCGCGUAGGUGGUUUAUUAAGUUGGAUGUGAAAUCCCCGGGCUUAACCUGGGUUUGUCAUUCAAAACUGAUAGACUAGAGUAUGGUAGAGGGUAGUGGAAUUCCUAGUGUAGAGGUGAAAUUCGUAGAUAUCGGGAGGAACACCAGUGGCGAAGGCGGCUACCUGGACCGAUACUGACGCUGAGACGCGAAAGCGUGGGUAGCAAACAGGAUUAGAAACCCCAGUAGUCC
rnacentral:rRNA from 1 species